GCUGCUGCUGCUGCGCUGAGCCCCGGAGUGCCCCACUGCAGCGCUGCCCCAUAGCGCCGCAGCCCACGCCGCCCCCCAGACCCGGACCCAUGGACGGACCCCCUGCCUGGCCCCGCCUCUUUAAUUACCGCGACCCAAUCGUUCAGUGUAAUUAGUUAAUUUUUAAUUAAAGCUGUUGUUACUGA